CCUACGGGAGGCAGCAGUGAGGAAUAUUGGUCAAUGGACGAGAGUCUGAACCAGCCAAGUAGCGUGAGGGAAGACGGCCCUACGGGUUGUAAACCUCUUCUGCCAGGGAGCAAGGUGCAGGUCGGGACCUGCUGCGCGAGUACCUGAAGCAAAAGCAUCGGCUAACUCCGGGCCAACAGCCGCGGUAAAAGGGGGGAUGCGAGGGGUAUCUGGAUUUAUUGGGUUUAACGGGUGCGCAGGGGGAGGCACAAGUCAGCGCUAAAAUCGCGGGGCUCAACCCCGCCCCGCCGUUGAAACUGUGUCGCUUGAGUGCGCGAAGGGUAGGCGGAAUGCGUGGUGUAGCGGUGAAAUGCAUAGAGAUCACGCAGAACUCCGGUCGCGAAGGCAGCCUACCGGCGCGCGACUGACGCUCAUGCACGAAAGCGUGGGUAUCGAACAGGAUUAGAUACCCUUGUAGUC
rnacentral:rRNA from 1 species